AUAAAAAUCCUUUCCUGUUUUAUUUCUUGGUUUAAGGGAUUAAGUGUGAUUCAGGCAUGAUGCCAUUAUGUUUUGUUGUAUGCAAUAUCAUUAGGUAAAUCAAGGCUUUAUUUUACUGUUUAAUGCUGAAACAUCUGCAAAAUUGCUUGAGCACUGGGAGAUGGCAUUCAAGCCAAAAGUCAUUGAAGAAGCAAAGUCUCUCACUUUGACAGCAGAACUUCAAAGUCACAUCAGUGCAGCAGAGUAACAACAGUCUGAACACGAAUGGGACAGUGACAUUUCCUCUUUCUUGUUGCUGUUGCAUUUGCUACCACCUUCUGCAGGGAGAAAGAAAGUUAAAAGCAGUCCCACUGAUGCUGCUGACAGUCCUGUACCAACAUUGAAGAACAUCUCAUGGGAAGAGAAAGCGACCAACCAUACCUACUUGCAGUAGGACGAACCAAGAAGAGGAUUGACAAUUUUUAUGUCGUUGUUGACAAGCAGCUCAUCCCCUGUGCAGGAGCCACCUCCCUGAGUGCCAUAGAUGAACUUUUCAAAGUUCAUUAUGUCUUUAACCUAACCUAUGAGGAAUCCCUGGCAAAUGUUUACACCUUUCUACAGACAACAGUCUACAACAUUGACAUAGGUCUAACAAACGAGUCGCCAAGAGUAAGAGAACUACGUGUGAAAUUGUUAAACAAUGUUUAAAUGUUUUUGGUGUGAGAGUUUGUAUGCAAAUAGCCAGCAGCUGAUA